rnacentral:rRNA from 1 species
UACGGAGGGUGCAAGCGUUAUCCGGAUUCACUGGGUUUAAAGGGUGCGUAGGCGGGCAGUUAAGUCAGUGGUGAAAUCUUCGAGCUCAACUCGGAAACUGCCAUUGAUACUAUCUGUCUUGAAUACUGUGGAGGUGAGCGGAAUAUGUCAUGUAGCGGUGAAAUGCUUAGAUAUGACAUAGAACACCGAUUGCGAAGGCAGCUCGCUACACAAAUAUUGACGCUGAGGCACGAAAGCGUGGGGAUCAAACAGG